GCAGAAAAAUUCUGGGCCUUAAAACACACCUUAACAAAUUUAAAAUAGUAGUAAUCAUGAGAUUAAAAACUAGAAAGAUAGCUGAAAGAUCCCAAAGUACUUGAAAGUAAACAACAAAUUUCUAAAUAACACAAGAGUCCAGAAAUUUAAGAGAAAUUUUAAAAUAUUUUGAAUAAACAUAGUUUAUCAAAAUUUGUGUGAUGUAGCAAAAGCAGUGCUUAGAGGGAAAUUUAUAGCAGUGAGAUAUAUUAGAAAAUCAGUAAUCUAAAUUUAGGAAACUUGAAAAUGAAGAGCAAAUUAAAUCUCUACUAAAAGGAAGAAAAGGAAUAAAUAAAAAUUAGAAAUCAAUGAAAUUGAAAACAAGAAAUAGAGAAAAUCAAUGAAGCCAAAAGUUUCUUCUUGAGAAAGAUUGAUAUGAGUUGCUGUAGUGGCUCAGCAGUUAAUGAACCUGACUAGCAUCCAUGAGGACACGGGGAUUGAACCUGCAUCCUCAUGGAUACCAGUCAGGUUCAUUAACUGCUGAACCACGAUGGGAACUCUGAUACUCUAUUUUAAAUGGACCAUUGUUUUGAAAGACACAACCUUCCAGAAGUUAAACAAGUAGAAAUAGAUACUCUGUAAUGGUCUAGAUCUAUUAAAAUGAUAUCUUUCACAAAGAGAAAGCACCAGGCCUAGAUGGGGCUCUGGUGAAGUCUACCAAACACCUAAGGGGGAAAUACUAAUUCUCUGUAAUCACUUUUCAGAAGGUAGAGGCAGAGGAAAUUCUUCUUAACUCAUUCUGUGAGGCCAGAAUUACUCUAAUACCCAAAUUAGGUAAAUCCAUUAUAAGAAAACUACAGACCAGUGUCUGUCAUGAACAUAGAUAAAAAAAUGCUCACAAAAUAUUAGCAACUUGGAUCUAAUGAUGUAUAAAAACAAUUAUACACCACAGCCAAGUUGAAUUUAUUCUGGGUAUGCAGGCCUGGAUCAACAUUUGAAAAUCAGCUAAUAUAAUCCAAUGUAUCUAAUAGGCUAAAGAAGAAAAAUCCUAUGGUCAUAUCAAUAGAUGUCAAAAAAGCACUUGACAAAAUCCAAAACAUUUUUGUCUUCAGUGAACUAGGAAUAGAAGGGAACUUCUUCAACUUGAUAAAGGAUUUCUACCAAAAAAAAAAAAAAACCCAAAAAACAAAAAAA
rnacentral:lncRNA from 1 species